GACGAACCGUGCGAACGUUGUUCGGAAUCACUGGGCUUAAAGGGCGCGUAGGCGGCGCGUCAAGUCAGGGGUGAAAGCGCCCGGCUCAACCGGGCCAGGGCCCCUGAUACUGACACGCUCGAGGGAGGCAGGGGCCGACGGAACUUCCGGUGGAGCGGUGAAAUGCGCAGAUAUCAGGAAGAACACCCGUGGCGAAGGCGGCUCUCUGGUACGUGACUGACGCUGAGACGCGAAAGCGUGGGGAGCGAACAGG
rnacentral:rRNA from 1 species